UGAGAAGCAUCGCAGCGGCACUUAACGCAGCCAGUGGUAAUGCCCAAGUCCGUUGACGCAGUAUCGUUUGAUGGGGUGUCACUACUGGAUAACCGGGUAUCCGCGUAUCGUCGAUAGGAAACCGCGGCGGAUUCCGGGAGUCUGGUAUGAGGAAGAAUUCAGUUGACAGCUCGGGACCCGUCGUCGUGGUCCCUGUCGAGACACCAGCAACCGCAGCCGUUAUCAUCAUCGCUUCAAAUGAAAUACUUUCUCUGGAUGAUCUUGUUGUUGUUGGUAUCAAGGAUGAUGGUAAUGAUACUGAUGAUGAUGAUGAUGACACUAAAGCUGAUGCGAUAUCCUCAUGGGUCAUGCGACCGUCUAGCCAAGCUAGUCGGGCCGCCGCUGAAAGUAAUAUUGGACUCACUCUCAUCUUCAAUUAAUAAAUUUUAUUUAGACACUUAAUUAGAUAAUUAUUAUAAUUAUAAUAAAUUAUAAAAUUAUCACCGACACUUGAGUGAUCUCCGUUUUUUGACUCGCAUUUUUAUAACAAACUUUUAAAAUAUUUUUAUCAAUCACUGAUUUAAACUUUGGGUAAUUUAAUUAAAGGUAUCGCGAAUAAUGACAUUGGCGACUAUAAAAUUAUACCGAGUGUGAGUCAAGAGUAUCAAGAGAAUACUGAAGAGCAUGUCUCAAGGAACUACGCUUGGCACGAAGCUUAUCCGUUACGGCCUGGAGGAGUCAAGAUUGGACGUUGGUGAUGGUGAGGUAGAGGUAGAGAAUAGGAGGUAGAAUACACGGGUAGAGGUGGAGAAGAAAGAGAUGGAGUAGGAUAGCUGGUGGAUAUUUUCUGGUGCUCGUGCUGCUGCUGUGCUGGGUAAGUUCAAGAGGUACAUGAGGAUAAAAGAUUAUUUAAGAGAGAGAGGAAUAUCAUCGGCCUCACAGGACCCGCCCGGACCAGCCAAGUAAUUUACAUAUGCAGUUCUCCCACCUUACGUACAAUAACCCCGAAAAAAAAAGUUAAAAAACAAACAAACAAAAAAAUCCACGAGGUAUUUUUCAGAUAAAAGUGUCUUUUAAUUUAUUAAUUUAUACUUUAGGUAAUUGUUAUUAUUUAUCAGGUAAAUUGAAUGAAUCAUUGAUAAGUUAUGCUGUAAAAAGGAUGUAGAUUAGAAUGCAUUGUUCCCUUGUGUGUUAUUAUGUAUCAUAUAUAUCUAUAUGUAUCACGUGUUCCAGGUACGCGUGGGCUGAACGCUUUCUCCUGGGACUACAUCCAGGUACAAUCUUAUAACUCAACUAAAGUUAAUGCAAGUCCCCUUGGAUUGUAAGUCCUGGUAGCACGCGAGUUUGGCAAAGAUCCUUCCUCGCUGUCUGACUUGAUAGCAGCUCAGAAUGCCGAGUAAAUGCAGUAUAUAUAUAUAACACAUCACGGACGAGAGAACAGCCGCGGGAAGAGGAUAUAUCAGGAUAUACAAAUAGUAAAAGAAGAAGAUGAAGAGAAUGAAACUGUGUUGGUAUAUCGUGCAAGACAUGGGUUUGAGUUUGAGUUUGAGAAAGAAGGAGCGAUGAUAAAUAACUUUUGAAAGUUCCAGGAACCCUAAAGACCGCUGAGGACCCUCGUAACCGGUUAGAAUUUUAAAAUCAUUUUCGACAGAUCGUACGAGUUUAUUUGAGGGAGAGACGGCGUUUGAUUGUUUGUCAAUUGCGAAUAUUUGACAGGACGAUAGACAAAUGGAUAAAAUUAUUGCCAGCUAUUUAUAGUUGCACCGUGGAAUUCCUCGGUGGAGUAGUGGAUGUCCGAGCAACGACUCCGGAUGUAACGGUGUCCAUGAGGAAGCUCCAACGCCCAGGGAAUGACAUCGCCGCCACCGCCUUGGCUGCUAUCAAACCGGUCGGAAUUCUCACAGAGGGAAUUAAAUUAAAUUAAGUAAAUUAGUGUCAUCUGUAAUUUUAAAAGUAUCAUUUAAAUUGUUGCCACCAAGUUAAGAUACUUGGGCUGGUGAAGUUUCUCAUUUGGUACAAGACUGAAAAUAAUGAAUCGACAUAAAAAAUACACGGAAAAAAAUGAUGCUCAAAAUUUUAAUAGUUUGUAGUUUAUUUUUGACUUAAAAUUAGUAUAUUUGUACUAAUAUCAAACCAGGAUCAUUAUAUCUUACAAAAUGGCUAUUAUUUAUAUUAAAAUUUGAUACACAUAGA